rnacentral:rRNA from 1 species
UACGAAGGGGCUAGCGUUGUUCGGAAUUACUGGGCGUAAAGCGCACGUAGGCGGGUCGUUAAGUCAGGGGUGAAAUCCCGGGGCUCAACCUCGGAACUGCCUUUGAUACUUGGCGAUCUUUGAGUCCGGGAGAGGUGAGUGGAACUCCGAGUGUAGAGGUGAAAAUUCGUAGAUAUUUCGGAAGAACACCAGUGGCGAAGGCGGCUCACUGGCCCGGUUACUGACGC